rnacentral:misc_RNA from 1 species
UAGAGUUGCAAAACUCCCAACCCUUUGUGAACCUUACCUGUUCUAGUUGCUUCGGCAGGCGGCCCCAGGGCGGGGUCUUUUAAGCCUGUUAUGGGUGUUUGCCGAUAGCAUUCUCUCAAACUCUUUUUUAAUUAAAUCUUCUGAGUUUUAAAAAUAAGUACA